AACUGAUCGUCCACACAAUCGCCAUUGGUGGGGCGACUAAGCUAAAGGAGAAGAAACGUACAAAAAGCAACACUUUGCUUGUUUACACAGCACUACACUCUACUCCACUCCACUGCAGAUUCUGCUACAUCUGCCACAUGCAACAGGCAUCCACAGAAAAGUCUGCAUCAAAGUCUGCCUCAAAGUCUGCUUAGAUCACAGACCACAAAGGAAAGAAAAGAAAACGGAGCCCAGAGAACAGAGAAAAAAUCUCGAAGCGAGAUCCCAAACCCAAUCAAACCACACGUACAGACAAUUCCCAUCCAUUAAUUGAAUCAAAUCGAACGUUACGCAUGCGUCAUGCCACAAAAUGACAAAGGGAGCCGCCACUGGGAGAGGCUCACACAUGCAGAUGAUCAUAAUAAUGAUUAUAAUGAUGAUGACGAUAGUUCCAGCCAUCUUCUUGGAGGAGACACCGUCUCCACCACCUCCACUCCACCAAAAGCCACAGCAACAGACAGACGCAGAAGCAGACGAUGGUAGAAGCCGUGUGUGUUAAGCAAAGUGGAAAUCGCAGUUGGAGACCAUCAUCCAGAGAGGGAGGGGAAUCAGGGACUCUGGGACUCUGGGACUCAGGGAAGUGGUGACCAAAUCAAACUGCCUCUGGACCAUGGACUGUGGACUGCGGACUGUGACUGUGGUUAAAGCCCACUUAAUUGACAUUUAGUGGACACUCGAAUGCAAAUGCAACACAGAGGCUUGGGAUAUACACUGGAAUAAACGAAGGGAACGAUUGAGGAUCGAUAUACAACCAGAUGCUUUGAUUCAUUGUUAAAUUUAUUCCCCAUUUCAGUAAUUUUUAAACUCUGUUUCUGCUGUGGAUUAUACUGGAGCUGGAUACUUCUGUGUUUCGUUAGAGGGACUCGGCCUUUCUUAAUGACACUUCGGAGAUGUCUACACUAUGUCCCAGAAAGAUCGCCAACUUUGUGAGAGCAUCUGGAAAGAUCCUCUGCGGUAUCACAACGGGCCGAAAGUGCGACGGGCUCUGAGGCUGACAGACGCCUCUACCUAACCUAACCUAACCUAGAGGGACUUGAGGGCUUAGAGGACUCAAAAUAGCAGGCGAUGAUCACACUCCUAGUGGUCCUUGAGAUGAUCUUCAAAAAGGGAUGUCUACAUACAGAUUCCAAAUGUUAUCAGAAGAAUAAAACACUAUAAAUCGAGGAGGAAUCGGAACUGAAAGAUGGACAACAGUCCGAAGAGUACUGUAAUCUUCAGAGCAAAAUCUGUUUAAGAUAUCAGGAAUGAUGACUCAUCCUUCUCGAUCUUAGGGACACCUUUUUGGGUGUUUUCUUGCAGUGCAUGCCACAUACCAAAGCGAGUGUCAGGCUGCGUGGAUUUUGGCUGGGCGCGAUUCUCAUCAGUAGUGCUAUAAGUAGUUUUCCUUUUCGAACUUGAAUGCUCGUCUCUGGCAGCUCUCUCUCUCCCUCUCUGUUGGCAUUCUAAUGCCCUCCCCUCGUGCCUUGUACCCCCAAUCCAUCCGUUGAUAAUGAGCAUGUUCUCCAGUUGCCAUUCCUGUUGCUCAUGAUUUCUGAAGAUGCGACUGCAGCGGCGGCUGCAGAAGUAGCAUUCGAAGAAGUAGCUUCAACUGAACCCAGACAUCAUUACAAUAUAAUUGAUGGGUUAUGGCCCCGCUAACGGUACUGGCCAAAAUGUUUCCUUGGAUUCUGUUUUUUGCUUUAGAAGGAGGAGGAGGAGAAGCCAGUUUUCGGUUUGGGGAAAUUAUCAUUGUUCCGUUUGGCAGCUGGCGAGGAGUUGUGCGUAUGGUUAUGGGAGUUGCUUUGGAGUUUCGGCUAUGAAUAUGGAAAAUGGUUAUAGUGCCACCAAAUCGGGCGGGUAAUGUGAGCCGCUGACAUAGAAAACUACUUAGGAUUUGCUAGAGAAAAUGUGCAGAGAAUGCAAUGGGUUCUUGAAUUUUUGCGCACAGAAAAGGUUUGAGUCCUGGGAAGCGAAAUGACUUGAUUUUGAGACCAGAAAUAUUGUCAGACAUGAGAUACACAUAUCCCGACUACCUUUAAAACGCUCCCUGACUUCAUAAAUCAAUUCCCAGGGCCUUCAAUCUCAAAAAACAACCAGAAAUCGCAGCAAAAACUUUCAAGAACCGCCCUCCUAUAUAUGUAUCUGCUCAACCGAAACGAAUCUCUGGCCGUAUUCGCGUGAAUCAAAAUCGACUAAAAACCCUAUUCAUUUCAAUGUCAUUUGGCAGUCGAACAAAAAAAGAAAACCGAAGCAGCAAGGCAGAAGGCCAGGGCACUGAAAGUAUAUCUCAAAAGUGUAUCUGUAUCUGCAUCCAAAUCGAAAACGUUUAUGCGAAAAAAAAAGGCACCAGAAAUUACAGCAAAACAUUUGCGGUUACCGCAUUUUUGUUUCUGUUUUACUUUGCUUAAGGUUUUUUGCUGCGGUCUUAGCCAUAUUGCCGCCUAAACCGCAGCUGUGUUUUUCUGUGCUGGCCGAUACGCUGCACGCACCACAAUGGAGAUACUAUAUAUGAAUGAGGAUGUGGAUCGCGCCUGAGAGGAAGGAGUCGCGUUGCAGAUGGAGACGUGGAUGUGGUUGAGGCGGAGGCUAAAGGAAAGUAAACUCCAUUCGAUCCUCGGGUUGAUGCCCAUAAAUGGUGCGUUAAUUAAAUGCUUUAUUAGCAUAAUGAAAUGGGAUCAAAGGUACGGGAGUAGCAGACAAAUAAAGGUAGCUUUAAAGGGUAUAAGGAAUAAGGGAUACACAUAUAUUAAUGUGGUUUAUUUCUGAAUUAAAAAAAGAGGAUUCAAUAGAUAGAAUAUCUCUAAAUGUGUCUCAUCUGAUGUAUAGGCUAAACCGAUCAUGCUUCUCCCUUGAGACCCAAAAGUAGCGCCUCAUAAAGUGCGUCUCGAGCCAUACCCUACAGUUUUUGGACUAAUUUUCAACGGGUAUUAUAGUAAGUAUUGCUUCGGAUUUUUUUCAUAGCAGGCCAUGCAAAAUGAGGACCCAAAAAGGAUACGAGGCGGAAGCUGCUUUAUUGUUACCGUUUUUGGCUCUGGCUUUUUGCCUCUGGCCCCUGGGGUUGUGCGUUGUGGCCAACACUUGCUGGCCUGACCUGAAGCCUCCUUUGUUUUCUGUAGUCUGGAGUCUCCAGUCUCUAGACUGGAGUCUGUGUGCGUUUUUUUUUUCGGGGAGAUCUCUCCCUCUCUCUCCUGCAAGCCAUUGAUCAAGCGAUCCAUAAUGAGCGAUAACUGCAGUUGGUGUUUUUUCCUUCUUGCUGUUUAGAUUUGCUUUUGUUUAGUCCUGAGAUUGAGAGCGGUAUUUUAUAUAGGUUUUUUUUUGUUGUUGUCUCUGUUACGUAUCUGGCGGAUACAUUAAGUAUCCGCAUGUAGCGGCAUUUUUUGUUUGUCUCCCUCUACCU
rnacentral:sRNA from 1 species